rnacentral:lncRNA from 1 species
AGUUCUCCUCUCAUUCUUUUUCCACUACCAACGCCACUUGCUUGCUUCCCUUCUCUCUUCUCCUUCCCCAUUAUUUCGCAUCCCUCCUUUUUCUCCUCAUUCAUCUUUAGUGCCACUUCCCCACUCGUCUUAUCCUCUUCUCUCUCCUUUUUUUUGCGCUCCCCCUCUCACUCCUUCCCCAUUAUUUCGCACCUCAACUUGUGCUCCCGCAUUGCAGAUUCUUGUUGCGACGGGUUAUGGUGGAAAGGGCCGAUUGGGACAACAACUGGCGUGUAGGCUCGUUCAUCUAAGCGCCGGAUGUGCAUGCUCCGGGAUCUUGAGGAUGGUGCAUGGGCUAAGAGGAUGGUGUUCGGGGCCAACUUCAUUCACCUCCUUGUUCACUCUAUUGAUCCAUGAGCCCAGAGCCUUGAUGUCAUUGGUGGGAGAGGUGGGAGAAGGUGUCGCUGUGCUUGUUGGUGGUGGAUGCUGCGUGCGUGUG